GGGCUCACACAAGCGGUGGAGCAUGUGGCUUAAUUCGAGGCUACGCGAAGAACCUUAUCCUAGGCUUGACAUGUUCGAAAGAGAUAGCAGGUAGAACCCGGAAACGGGAACGAACGGUAUCCAAUCCGGAAGCUAUCACAGGUGCUGCAUGGCUGUCGUCAGCUCGUGUCGUGAGAUGUCGGGUUAAGUCCCUUAACGAGCGAAACCCUUACCAUUAGUUGCCAGCGGGUCAUGCCGGGGACUCUAGUGGGACUGCCGGUGUCAAACCGGAGGAAGGUGGGGAUGACGUCAAGUCCUCAUGGCCUUUAUGCUUAGGGCUGCACACGUGCUACAAUGGCGUGAACAAAGGGAAGCCAAGUUGCGAAACUGAGCCAAUCCCAAAAAACACGCCCCAGUUCAGAUCGAAGGCUGCAACUCGCCUUCGUGAAGUUGGAAUCGCUAGUAAUCGCGGGUCAGCAACACCGCGGUGAAUGUGUUCCUGAGCCUU
rnacentral:rRNA from 1 species